UUAGUAGAAGCUGUUGCUGAUAUGUCUCAUGUUCCUUCUUGACUGGCAAUGUCACGAUCCCUUUCUGAUUCUUCAAUCAAAAUUUGUGUCACUCAUUUAUCAGUCCGAAAUGCCAAGAAAACAAUACCACAGAUCCAGCACCCUGUGAUCCAAAAACAUGGAAAAAAAAAAAA